AUGCACGCUGGCGGCGUGCCUAAUACCUGCAAGUCGCGCGAACAGACGAGGAGCUUGCUCCUCUGACGUUAGCGGCGGACGGGUGAGUAACACGUGGAUAACCUACCUAUAAGACUGGGAUAACUUCGGGAAACCGGAGCUAAUACCGGAUAAUAUAUUGAACCGCAUGGUUCCAUAGUGAAAGACGGUUUUGCUGUCACUUAUAGAUGGAUCCGCGCCGCAUUAGCUAGUUGGUAAGGUAACGGCUUACCAAGGCAACGAUGCGUAGCCGACCUGAGAGGGUGAUCGGCCACACUGGAACUGAGACACGGUCCAGACUCCUACGGGAGGCAGCAGUAGGGAAUCUUCCGCAAUGGGCGAAAGCCUGACGGAGCAACGCCGCGUGAGUGAUGAAGGUCUUCGGAUCGUAAAACUCUGUUAUUAGGGAAGAACAAAUGUGUAAGUAACUAUGCACGUCUUGACGGUACCUAAUCAGAAAGCCACGGCUAACUACGUG
rnacentral:rRNA from 1 species